UACAGAGGUCUCAAGCGUUGUUCGGAUUCAUUGGGCGUAAAGGGCGCGUAGGCGGCGGUGUAAGUUGGAAGUGAAAUCCCAUCGGCUCAACCGUGGAAUCGCUCCCAGUACUGCAUCGCUCGAGGGGGAUAGGGGUCUGCGGAACUACCGGUGGAGCGGUGAAAUGUGUUGAUAUCGGUGGGAACGCCAGUGGCGAAAGCGGCAGACUGGACCCUUCCUGACGCUGAGGCGCGAAAGCUAGGGGAGCAAACGGG
rnacentral:rRNA from 1 species